rnacentral:rRNA from 1 species
UACGAAGGGGGCUAGCGUUGUUCGGAUUUACUGGGCGUAAAGCCCACGUAGGCGGAUCUUUAAGUCAGAGGUGAAAUCCCAAGGCUCAACCUUGGAACUGCCUUUGAUACUGGGGAUCUUGAGUCCGGGAGAGGUGAGUGGAACUGCGAGUGUAGAGGUGAAAUUCGUAGAUAUUCGCAAGAACACCAGUGGCGAAGGCGGCUCACUGGCCCGAUACUGACGCUGAUGCACGAAAGCGUGGGGAGCAAACAGG